UACGGAGGGUGCAAGCGUUGAUCGGAUUUACUGGGCGUAAAGUGUGCGCAGGUGGCCGCGCAAGUCGAGUGUGAAAGCCCCGGGCUUAACUUGGGAAUUGCGCUCGAAACUACGCGGCUAGAGUGUGGCAGAGGAAGGUGGAAUUCCACGUGUAGCGGUGAAAUGCGUAGAGAUGUGGAGGAACACCGAUGGCGAAGGCAGCCUUCUGGGCCAACACUGACGCUCAUGCACGAAAGCGUGGGGAGCAAACAGG
rnacentral:rRNA from 1 species